CCUACGGGCGGCAGCCGUGAGGAAUAUUGGUCAAUGGGCGCGAGCCUGAACCAGCCAAGUAGCGUGAAGGAUGACUGCCCUACGGGUUGUAAACUUCUUUUAUAAAGGAAUAAAGUGAGGCACGUGUGCCUUUUUGUAUGUACUUUAUGAUUAAGGUUCGGCUAACUCCGUGCCAGCAGCCGCGGUAAUACGGAGGAUCCGAGCGUUAUCCGGCUUUAUUGGGUGUAAAGGGAGCGUAGAUGGGUUGUUAAGUCAGUUGUGAACGUUUGCGGCUCAACCGUAAAAUUGCAAUUGAUACUGGCAGUCUUGAGUACAGUUGAGGUAGGCGGAAUUCGUGGUGUAGCGGUGAAAUGCUUAGAUAGCACGAAGAACUCCGAUGGCGAAGGCAGCUUACUAAACUGCCACUGACAUUGAUGCUCGAAAGUGUGGGUAUCAAACAGGAUUAGAUACCCGGGUAGUC
rnacentral:rRNA from 1 species